rnacentral:rRNA from 1 species
UCCAGACUCCUACGGGAGGCAGCAGUGAGGAAUAUUGGUCAAUGGGCGGGAGCCUGAACCAGCCAAGUCGCGUGAGGGAAGACGGUCCUACGGAUUGUAAACCUCUUUUGCCGGGGAGCAACGGGGUCCUUGCGAGGGCCCGAUGAGAGUACCCGGAGAAAAAGCAUCGGCUAACUCCGUGCCAGCAGCCGCGGUAAUACGGAGGAUGCGAGCGUUAUCCGGAUUUAUUGGGUUUAAAGGGUGCGCAGGCGGUCUGUAAAGUCGGGGGUAAAAGCCGGGGGCCCACCCCCGGCCCGCCGUUGAAACUGGCAGCCUCGAGUUGGAGAGAAGUAUGCGGAAUGCGCGGUGUAGCGGUGAAAUGCAUAGAUAUCGCGCAGAACUCCGAUUGCGAAGGCAGCAUGCCGGCUCCACACUGACGCUGAGGCACGAAAGCGUGGGUAUCGAACAGGAUUAGAUACCCUGGUAC